CAGUCGAACGAGAGACCUUCGGGUCUCUAGUGGCGAACGGGUGAGUAACACGUAGGGAACCUGCCCGCGCACCGGGAAUACGCUCUGGAAACGGAGAACAAAUCCCGAUGUACAGGAAGGAGGCAUCUUCUUUCUGUGAAACAUCCUUUCGGGGAUGGGGCGCGGAUGGACCUGCGGUGCAUUAGUUUGUUGGCGGGGUAAAGGCCCACCAAGACGAUGAUGCAUAGCCGGCCUGAGAGGGCGGACGGCCACAUUGGGACUGAGACACGGCCCAGACUCCUGCGGGAGGCAGCAGUAGGGAAUUUUCGUCAAUGGGCGCAAGCCUGAACGAGCGAUGCCGCGUGAGUGAAGAAGGCCUUCGGGUCGUAAAGCUCUGUUGCGGGGGAAAAAAGGCAGCAUCAGGAAAUGGGUGCUGACUGAUGGUGCCCCGCCAGAAAGUCACGGCUAACUACGUGCCAGCAGCCGCGGUAAUACGUAGGUGGCGAGCGUUAUCCGGAAUGAUUGGGCGUAAAGGGUGCGCAGGCGGUCCUGCAAGUCUGGAGUGAAACGCAUGAGCUCAACUCAUGCAUGGCUUUGGAAACUGGAGGACUGGAGAGCAGGAGAGGGCGGUGGAACUCCAUGUGUAGCGGUAAAAUGCGUAGAUAUAUGGAAGAACACCAGUGGCGAAGGCGGCCGCCUG
rnacentral:rRNA from 1 species